rnacentral:rRNA from 1 species
ACGAACGCUGGCGGCAGGCCUAACACAUGCAAGUCGAACGCCGUAGCAAUACGGAGUGGCAGACGGGUGAGUAACGCGUGGGAAUAUCCCCCUCAGUACGGAAUAGCUCAGGGAAACUUGGGGUAAUACCGUAUACGUCCGUGAGGAGAAAGAUUUAUCGCUGAGGGAUUAGCCCGCGUAGGAUUAGCUAGUUGGUGAGGUAAUGGCUCACCAAGGCGACGAUCCUUAGCUGGUCUGAGAGGACGACCAGCCACACUGGGACUGAGACACGGCCCAGACUCCUACGGGAGGCAGCAGUGGGGAAUAUUGGACAAUGGGCGCAAGCCUGAUCCAGCCAUGCCGCGUGAGUGAUGAAGGCCUUAGGGUUGUAAUGCUCUUUUGGCGGGGACGAUAAUGACGGUACCCGCAGAAUAAGCCCCGGCUAACUUCGU